rnacentral:rRNA from 1 species
CCUACGGGAGGCAGCAGUGAGGAAUAUUGGUCAAUGGGCGCGAGCCUGAACCAGCCAAGUAGCGUGAAGGAUGACUGCCCUACGGGUUGUAAACUUCUUUUAUAAAGGAGUAAAGUGAGACACGUGUGCCUUUUUGUAUGUACUUUACGAAUAAGGAUCGGCUAACUCCGUGCCAGCAGCCGCGGUAAUACGGAGGAUCCGAGCGUUAUCCGGGUUUAUUGGGUUUAAAGGGAGCGUAGGUGGGUUGUUAAGUCAGUUGUGAAAGUCUGCGGCUCAACUGUACAAUUGCAAUUGAUACUGGCAGCCUUGAGUACAGUUGAGGUAGGCGGAAUUCGUGGUGUAGCGGUGAAAUGCUUAGAUAUCACGAAGAACUCCGAUGGCGAAGGCAGCUUACUAAACUGCCACUGACAUUGAUGCUCGAAAGUGUGGGUAUCAAACAGGAUUAGAUACCCUAGUAGUC